UGGUGGAGUGAUUUGUCUGGUUAAUUCCGAUAACGAACGAGACCUUAACCUGCUAAAUAGUCACGCAAACCUUGCUGUUUGUGGCCGACUUCUUAGAGGGACUGUUGACGUUUAGUCAAUGGAAGUUUGAGGCAAUAACA
rnacentral:rRNA from 1 species